rnacentral:tRNA from 1 species
UGGAAGGUGGCUCAGUGGUAGAGUGCUUGCCUUGCAUACAUGAGGCCCUGGGUUCGAUUCCUCAGCAUCACAU